AUCAACUUUAAGAGCUGACUGUUGCCUAAUAAACCCCACCCUCUGACAGAUGCCAUUGUAACAAAAUAGGAAAUUAUGUCAUGAGAAAGAGAUGAAGGCUGCUCUGCUUUAUUCCACCCUGACAGCUAAAGUAAACUUUAGAAUGACCUGCAAUGCAGAGAUGAUUGCAAUGCACCAGCACCUCAACUCUAUACAGCAAAAAAAAAUCCAGGAUGCCAAGACUUCUGCAACAGCACCUUGUCAGGAAGUGUUGCGUAAGAUAAAAAAAGAAAAGAGAAUCAGGGAAAAGAAGAUUCAAGUACUUCUUGAGGAACAAAUUAAAAAAUCAGUCAGUGAAGUGGAGCCUUUAUGGCAGCAGGGAGUCAAAACAUUCCGAUGAUUCCGAUGAGGCCCUGAGCUCCUUAGCAGUAAUUGGUGGUAGAUCAGAGCACAAGCACAAGGGAGGAGGACUCAGCCCGUCUCAGAAGAAAAAAAAAAACAUCUCGUCUAUAUGAUACUGCUGUGAAAUGUUUUCUUAAUAGAUUGAUUGACAGCUACCAAUGGAAUGUUUCCUGUAAUAUGGGACUUCAGCCGAAAACAGGCCUCCUGCUGGCAGCUGGACCUGCUGCUGCUGAGGUACCUGAUGUUCUCACAGCUGUCACUUACAGCAAUAAACUAAAACAGAGGGUUAGCAUUAGCCUGCUUGUUUUGGAGAGCUUGUUUUAGCUAGACCUACCACAGAGAUAUUUACCUAUUCAGGAACAUUUGGAUUUAAAAAUGCAUAAUUUAAUUUGUAAAUGAAUAAAUCUUAAUGGGAUGGCUGGAAA